rnacentral:rRNA from 1 species
UACGAAGGUCCCAAGCGUUAUCCGGAUUUAUUGGGUUUAAAGGGUGCGUAGGUGGGUAUGUAAGUCAGUGGUGAAAUCCCCGAGCUUAACUUGGGAACUGCCGUUGAUACUAUAUAUCUUGAAUAUCGCGUAGGUAAGCGGAAUAUGUCAUGUAGCGGUGAAAUGCUUAGAUAUGACAUAGAACACCAAUUGCGAAGGCAGCUUACUUCACGAUUAUUGACACUGAGGCACGAAAGCGUGGGGAGCAAACAGG